rnacentral:rRNA from 1 species
UACGUAGGUGGCAAGCGUUGUCCGGAUUUACUGGGUGUAAAGGGCGUGCAGCCGGAGAGACAAGUCAGAUGUGAAAUCCACAGGCUCAACCUGUGAACUGCAUUUGAAACUGUUUCCCUUGAGUAUCGGAGAGGUCAUCGGAAUUCCUAGUGUAGCGGUGAAAUGCGUAGAUAUCACGCAGAACUCCGAUUGCGAGGGCAGCAUACCGGCGCCCGACUGACGCUGAAGCACGAAAGCGUGGGUAUCGAACAGG